UGUACUGAGAUGAGAAUCAAAUUUAACAGAG
rnacentral:piRNA from 1 species